GACGAACGCUGGCGGCGUGCUUAACACAUGCAAGUCGAACGGAAAGGCCUGCUUUCCCUUGUGGAUUGCGGGUACUCGAGUGGCGAACGGGUGAGUAACACGUGAGUGAUCUGCCCCCAACUUGGGUAUAAGCCUGUGAAACUGGGUCUAAUUCCCGAUAGGACUGCAGGUUGGUGCCUGUGGUGGAACACGAUGUUCUAGUGGUUGGGGAUGGGCUCGCGGCCUAUCAGCUUGUUGGUGGGGUAGUGGCCUACCAAGGCGGCGACGGGUAGCCGGCCAGAGAGGGUGGACGGCAGCGUGGGGACUGGGACACGGGGCGGACUAGUACGGGAGGCAGCAGUGGGGAAGAGUGGACGAUGGGAGUAGGGCUGAGGCAGCGACGCCGCGUGGGGGAUGACGGGUUUCGGGUUGUAAACUCCUUGCGGCCGCGAGGAAGCCACCUGGUUGAAAGGGUGGUGACGGUAGUUGUAGAAGAAGCACCGGCUAACUACGUG
rnacentral:rRNA from 1 species